UAGCCUAGUGGUUAAGGCUAUGGAUUGUCAUUUCGGAGACGGCGGGUUCGAUUCCCGC
rnacentral:tRNA from 1 species